rnacentral:misc_RNA from 1 species
GAUGAAGAACGUAGCGAAAUGCGAUAAGUAAUGUGAAUUGCAGAAUUCAGUGAAUCAUCGAAUCUUUGAACGCACAUUGCGCCCCCUGGUAUUCCGGGGGGCAUGCCUGUCCGAGCGUCAUUACAACCCUCAAGCUCAGCUUGGUAUUGGGCCCCGCCGCUCCGGCGGGCCCUAAAGUCAGUGGCGGUGCCGUCCGGCUCCGAGCGUAGUAAUUCUUCUCGCUCUGGAGGUCCGGUCGUGUGCUCGCCAGCAACCCCCAAUUUUUUUCAGGUUGACCUCGGAUCAGGUAUGGAUACCCGCUGAACUUAAGCAUAUCAAUAAGCGGAGGA